GAGAGUCAAUCAGAACUGCUGGUUGUCAUGCCUACAAUAGACUCCUAUACUGAGAGUCAAACAGAACCCCUGGUUGUCAUGUCUACAAUAGACUCCUAUUCUGAGAGUCAAUCAGAACUGAUGGUUGUCAUGCCUGCAAUAGACUCCUAUACUGGGAGUCAAUCAGAACUGCUGGUUGUCAUGUCUACAAUAGACUCCUAUUCUGAGAGUCAAUCAGACUGAUGGUUGUCAUGUCUACAAUAGACCCCUAUACUGGGAGUCAAACAGAACCCCUGGUUGUCAUGUCUACAAUAGACUCCUAUACUGAGAGUCAAUCAGAACUGAUGGUUGUCAUGCCUACAAUAGACUCCUAUACUGGGAGUCAAUCAGAACUGCUGGUUGUCAUGCCUACAAUAGACUCCUAUACUGGGAGUCAAUCAGAACCCCUGGUUGUCAUGUCUACAAUAGACUCCUAUACUGAGAGUCAAUCAGAACUGCUGGUUGUCAUGUCUACAAUAGACUCCUAUACUGGGAGUCAAUCAGAACCUGUGUUGUCAUGCCUACAAUAGACUCCUAUACUAGGAGUCAAUCAGAACUCCUGUUGUCAUGCCUACAAUAGACUCCUAGCUGUAGGACAGUGAACCAGUAGUUUAACUGGGAGGUUAUAUCCUCAUUGAGCUGUAGGACAGUGAACCAGUAGUUUAACUGGGAGGUUAUAUCCUCAUUGAGCUGUAGGACAGUNNNNNNNNNNUCUACGGUGUUUUAUCUACGGUGUUUUAUCUACGGUGUUUUAUCUACGGUGUUUUAUCUACGGUGUUUUAUCUACGGUGUUUUAUCUACGGUGUUUUAUCUACGGUGUUUUAUCUACGGUGUUUUAUCUACGGUGUUUUAUCUACGGUGUUUUAUGUUACUAUAUUCCAUUUUAAAGGAACUGUAUAGUAGUCUGCUACCAUAUGUAAGUCUGCUACCAUAUGUAAGUCUGCUACCAUAUGUAAGUCUGCUACCAUAUGUAAGUCUGCUACCAUAUGUAAGUCUGCUACCAUAUGUAAGUCUGCUACCAUAUGUAAGUCUGCUACCAUAUGUAAGUCUGCUACCAUAUGUAAGUCUGCUACCAUAUGUAAGUCUGCUACCACGUAAAAAAAUAUAUAAGAUACUCUUUGUGUUCAUGUGAAUGUGGGGAAAAAAACCUCAAGGUAGAGGCCUAUACGGCGAGUCACCUAACAGUAAAAUGUCCCCAAUUGUUUAAACAAGGCUAAUUGUCAUUGUUCCAGAGAUGCCAUAUUCUGCUGUGACGCGGGCUUUGUCGGGGCUCGGCUAGAGCCCGGUGAACUCAGUCCCCUGGGCAUGUUCCUUCCCUGGGAAUAAAUACACAAACAACACAAAGACAGAGACUGUGUUUCAAAUGGCACCCUAUUCCCUAUCAGUGGAGGCUGCUGUGUGCUUAAAGCAUCAGACAAGCUCAAUGCAUGUAUCAGUGAAGGCUGCUGAGGGGAGGACGGCUCAUAAUAACGUCUGGAACGAAGCGAAUGGAAUGUCAUGAAACACAUGGAAACCAUGGAAACCAUGUAUAUGAUGUAUUUCAUACCAUUCCGCUGAUUCCGCUCCAGUCAUUACCACGAGCCCCGUCCUCCCUAAUUAAGGUGCCACCAACCUCCUAUGUUCCCUGUGUAGUGUACUACUGUUGACCAGGGCCCGUAGAGAAUAUGUUGCCAUUUGGGAAGCAGACAGAGACUCAGAUAAAUGCAAACACAAAAUAAACAUCAAUCAGAACUACUGGUUGUCAUGUCUACAAUAGACUCCUAUACUGAGAGUCAAACAGAACCCCUGUUGUCAUGUCUACAAUAGACUCCUAUACUGAGAGUCAAUCAGAACCCUUGGUUGUCAUGCCUACAAUAGACUCCUAUACUGGGAGUCAAACAGAACCCCUGGUUGUCAUGCCUACAAUAGACUCUUAUACUGGGAGUCAAUCAGAACUGCUGGUUUUCAUGUCUACAAUAGACUCCUAUACUGGGAGU
rnacentral:lncRNA from 13 species